AUUGAACGCUGGCGGCAGGCCUAACACAUGCAAGUCGAGCGGAUGAGUGGAGCUUGCUCCAUGAUUCAGCGGCGGACGGGUGAGUAAUGCCUAGGAAUCUGCCUGGUAGUGGGGGACAACGUUUCGAAAGGAACGCUAAUACCGCAUACGUCCUACGGGAGAAAGCAGGGGACCUUCGGGCCUUGCGCUAUCAGAUGAGCCUAGGUCGGAUUAGCUAGUAGGUGAGGUAAUGGCUCACCUAGGCGACGAUCCGUAACUGGUCUGAGAGGAUGAUCAGGCACACUGGAACGGAGACACGGUCCAGACUCCUACGGGAGGCAGCAGUGGGGAAUAUUGGACAAUGGGCGAAAGCCUGAUCCAGCCAUGCCGCGUGUGUGAAGAAGGUCUUCGGAUUGUAAAGCACUUUAAGUUGGGAGGAAGGGCAGUAAGUUAAUACCUUGCUGUUUUGACGUUACCAACAGAAUAAGCACCGGCUAACUUCGUGCCAGCAGCCGCAGUAACAC
rnacentral:rRNA from 1 species